GAUGAACGCUCGCUACAGGCUUAACACAUGCAAGUCGAGGGGAAACGAUGAGAGAGCUUGCUCUCUUAGUCGUCGACCGGCGCACGGGUGAGUAACGCGUAUCCAACCUGCCUCUGACCAAGGGAUAACCCGUCGAAAGUCGGACUAAUACCUUAUGCAGUCGUCGGAAGUCAUCUGAUGACGACGAAAGAUUUCAUCGGUGAGAGAUGGGGAUGCGUCUGAUUAGCUUGUUGGCGGGGUAACGGCCCACCAAGGCGACGAUCAGUAGGGGUUCUGAGAGGAAGGUCCCCCACAUUGGAACUGAGACACGGUCCAAACUCCUACGGGAGGCAGCAGUGAGGAAUAUUGGUCAAUGGGCGUAAGCCUGAACCAGCCAAGUAGCGUGCAGGAUGACGGCCCUAUGGGUUGUAAACUGCUUUUAGGCGGGGAUAAAGUGAGGGACGUGUCCUUCAUUGCAGGUACCGCAUGAAUAAGAACCGGCUAAUUCCGUG
rnacentral:rRNA from 1 species